rnacentral:rRNA from 1 species
UAGCUAGUUGGUGAGGUAAAGGCUUACCAAGGCGACGAUCUGUAGCGGGUCUGAGAGGAUGAUCCGCCACACUGGAACUGAGACACGGUCCAGACUCCUACGGGAGGCAGCAGUGGGGAAUUUUGGACAAUGGGGGCAACCCUGAUCCAGCCAUGCCGCGUGAGUGAAGAAGGCCUUCGGGUUGUAAAGCUCUUUCGGCCGGGAAGAAAUCGCAUGGGCCAAUACCCUGUGUGGAUGACGGUACCGGAAUAAGAAGCACCGGCUAACUACGUGCCAGCAGCCGCGGUAAUACGUAGGGUGCAGCGUUAAUCGGAAUUACUGGGCGUAAAGCGUGCGCGGGCGGUUUUGUAAGACAGGCGUGAAAUCCCCGGGCUUAACCUGGGAACUGCGUUUGUGACUGCAAGGCUAGAGUACGGCAGAGGGGGGUGGAAUUCCACGUGUAGCAGUGAAAUGCGUAGAGAUGUGGAGGAACACCAAUGGCGAAGGCAGCCCCCUGGGUCGAUACUGACGCUCAUGCACGAAAGCGUGGGUAGCAAACAGGAUUAGAUACCCUGGUAGUCCACGCCCUAAACUAUGUCAACUAGGUGUUGGGUGGGUAAAACCAUUUAGUACCGUAGCUAACGCGUGAAGUUGACCGCCUGGGGAGUACGGCCGCAAGGUUAAAACUCAAAGGAAUUGACGGGGACCCGCACAAGCGGUGGAUGAUGUGGAUUAAUUCGAUGCAACGCGAAAAACCUUACCUACCCUUGACAUGCCAGGGACUUGCCAGAGAUGGCUUGGUGCCCGAGAGGGAGCCUGGACACAGGUGCUGCAUGGCUGUCGUCAGCUCGUGUCGUGAGAUGUUGGGUUAAGUCCCGCAACGAGCGCAACCCUUGUCGUUAAUUGCCAUCAUUUAGUUGGGCACUUUAACGAGACUGCCGGUGACAAACCGGAGGAAGGUGGGGAUGACGUCAAGUCCUCAUGGCCCUUAUGGGUAGGGCUUCACACGUCAUACAAUGGUCGGUACAAAGGGUUGCCAAGCCGCGAGGCGGAGCCAAUCCCAGAAAGCCGAUCGUAGUCCGGAUUGCAGGCUGCAACUCGCCUGCAUGAAGUCGGAAUCGCUAGUAAUCGUGGAUCAGCAUGUCACGGUGAAUACGUUCCCGGGUCUUGUACACAUCGCCCGUCACACCAUGGGAGCGGGUUCCGCCAGAAGUAGGUAGCCUAACCGCAAGGGGGGCGCUUACCACGGCGGGGUUCGUGACUGGGGUGAAGUCGUAACAAGGUAGCCGUAUCGGAGGUGCGGCUG